rnacentral:lncRNA from 1 species
AUUCUUAUUUGAAAGCGGAAUUCAAUUGAACUGUAAACUCACCAACUCCCGCUUCGUCUGCAUGAUACCCUGCUCCAGGGGAAGCCCUUUCUUAUGCUUUGGAUCCUUAUUCUUGACCUUCUUCUUGAUUUUUGCUCGUCGACUCGACUUUCAUUGCUGCUGCGCCAACUGCUUCAUUUGAUAGAGCAGAGCUUCCGAUCCAUCAUAUGAUUCCGCAAGAACGAAACUGUCUUUCAUUGUUUAACACA